rnacentral:misc_RNA from 1 species
GAAAUGCGAUAAGUAAUGUGAAUUGCGGAAUUCAGUGAAUCAUCGAAUCUUUGAACGCACAUUGCGCCCGCCAGUAUUCUGGCGGGCAUGCCUGUCCGAACGUCAUUUCAACCAUCAAGCCCCCGGGCUUGUGUUGGGGACCUGCGGCUGCCCGCAGGCCCUGAAAACCAGUGGCGGGCUCGCUGUCACACCGAGCGUAGUAGCAAUCACCUCGCUCAGGGCGUGCUGCGGGUUCCGGCCGUUAAACAGCCUUACAAAACCCAAGGUUGACCUCGGAUCAGGUAGGAAGACCCGCUGAACUUAAGC